CAGUAGCCGCGGUAAUACGUAGGGUGCGAGCGUUAAUCGGAAUUACUGGGCGUAAAGCGUGCGCAGGCGGUUGUGUAAGACAGGUGUGAAAUCCCCGGGCUUAACCUGGGAACCGCGCUUGUGACUGCACAGCUAGAGUAUGGCAGAGGGGGGUGGAAUUCCACGUGUAGCAGUGGAAUGCGUAGAGAUGUGGAGGAACACCGAUGGCGAAGGCAGCCCCCUGGGCCAAUACUGACGCUCAUGCACGAAAGCGUGGGGAGCAAACAGGAUUAGAUACCCCUGUAGUCCCUGUCUCUUAUAC
rnacentral:rRNA from 1 species